GGCUCCAGGAAGGCCCUCUGCCAGGCUGUGGCUCCAGUUGCAACGCUGGCCCUGGGACUUCAGGCACAUGACCCCACUCAGAAGAAAAGACUGUGUGCCCAGCUCCCACAGCAGUCAAAUGCCUGCAGUGGGCUCCUCAUUCUACAUCACUCCUAGUGGUUCUGCUUCCUUAAACGCCAGCCAAACGAUGUGUCAUAAAGAGCCCGAAGGGUGGGUUUCUCCCUGAAGAGCUUCUGACAGACAUCUGCACCGAGAAAUCGAACUCCCAGCCUCCUUGCGGGUGGUCUCAGAUCUGCCAAGCCACCAGGCGUGAGGCUGGCAAGGGCGGAAGGAGAGCUGCCAAAUCAGCUCUGGAAUCCCACAGCUGACCCCGCCUCUGGUUCUGCAGGAGAGGAACCCAGCUUUGUUUUGCAGUCAAAGCUGCCUCUUCUGUUUUCUGCACCCAACCAAGAUGCCAUCUGACACCGAC